rnacentral:piRNA from 1 species
UCAGUGAGCUGUGCUAGGCUGUG